GCUCAACCUUUCACUCUCUGCCUCUCUUACUCCGUUAUCUUUUGUCCUUGUUCACUCCUCCACACUGGAACAUAUUACUCAAUUUUCACAUUUUUUCUAAAAUUAUUAACUUUAAAGACGAUUCGAAAAGCAUUAUUCAAUUCAAAAAUAAUCAAAUUGAUGUCUCCAAAUAAUACUCAAAUGAUAUGUCGUUGUCCGUUUAUCUAUUUUCCUGCAAUGUUCUUUGUUUUAAUCCUUAACCGUUCCCGUAACGGGAAACGUAUCCUAACCUCAAAACAAUAUAGAAUUGUAGAUAUAUAAUACUGUGAAACGUUAAAUAUACCGAAUAAAAGUUGAAUAAAUAAUGAAUCUGAUUUCUUGUUUCGUCCAGAGUGUGAGUGGACCAUGUACCAUCCAACCCAAUAUGUGGAAGGACCAACAUCGCUCUACCAAACGAGGUAAUUCCCCACUUUCGGUGGAGGAUGCACGAUCAGAACUCUGAAAAGCGAGUUUCCAUCGAGAUACCCUCGUUUUCGAACGAAAUUUCAAGAAUUUGUCCAUAUACGUAGAGAACGAAGAGAAAGGGAUCUGGAUGGGAACUCUGUGGUUACUUGGAGGUAGAAACCGAACGGGAAACGAAGAAAACUAGUUUCUUCCCCGUAUUGGCGUCACUUUCCUAUUUGCAGCAAACGAGAAAAAGAAGCGAAUGUUUAUUUAAAUGGACGCACACGAUCCCUCUCGCUCGUCAAACGCGUUGGAAGAUAAUUCUCGCCGUAAGCUGCGCCACUGAACACGCGACUAUAUUUUUCUAACAUCAUUCCGCUCUCUUCUCGGUGUCUCGGAGUAAUUUACCGCAAUUUCGAAGUACGCUUUGUUCGAGCAUGGUGCUUGAUGAGCCUGAGUGAACCUAACGUUAGUCGAUUCUACUUGAAAAAUCAUUUUUCUCACCUGUUUUCCUUACGAGAGAACGAGUAGAAGGAAAAUUUGAACAACACAUCGCCUUAUGUUUGCAAUACUUAUACAAUCACACAAGAACAUUUCUUUUUAAAAAUUGUCCAUCGACUUGAUAAGAAUUUUUGGUAAUUUUAUGCUCUUCUUAUGUAUGUUGUCAAAAAAUAAGAGUUUCUUCUUUCUAGGGAGUUUCUGAGAUUUCAUUCACGUUGGUAGGAAGAUGUCAGAGGUUCAUCGAGCAGCCAUACGUCGCAGUAGGCCAUUUCCUCCUAUCUACGAAUUUGAAAGACUAACUAAAAAAGCAAAGAGCAAAGUGCCGCGUCGAGAUUCCGCUUUUGCUGUCGUUAUUCUUCUCCAUUGGAAAGCAAGGCUGAUGUGCAGCCCGUAAAUCUAAUCCGACAUUCUUUUCCACUCGCCUCGAGCCAUAGCAGCUGUCCUGCCGUAUAUGUGUCAGCAAACAGAGAUGUAUGGAAGCACGUGCACCAUGGUGAUCAUGGACUACAUUCGUGACCGGUGGCCUGAUAUAGGGAAAAUAGGAAAACGGGUUUUUCCAACGGCAAGGGAAGGUUUGAUGAUAUAAGUUAGAUGAGAAAAUGGAUAAUACAAUUAUA
rnacentral:misc_RNA from 1 species